AUAGGGGCUUCCGAGACGGCGACGUUUUGGGGGCUCUUUUCUUUUGC
rfam:Rhizobium sp. PDO1-076 strain PDO-076 ctg234, whole genome shotgun sequence.